UACGAAGGGGGCUAGCGUUGUUCGGAAUCACUGGGCGUAAAGCGCGAGUAGGCGGAUCUUUAAGUCGGGGGUGAAAUCCCGAGGCUCAACCUCGGAACUGCCUUCGAUACUGAAGAUCUUGAGUCCGGGAGAGGUGAGUGGAACUCCGAGUGUAGAGGUGAAAUUCGUAGAUAUUCGGAAGAACACCAGUGGCGAAGGCGGCUCACUGGCCCGGUACUGACGCUGAUAACGCGAAAGCGUGGGGAGCAAACAGG
rnacentral:rRNA from 1 species